UACGUAUGGUGCAAGCGUUGCCCGGAUUUAUUGGGCGUAAAGGGCGCGUAGGCGGCUCUGCACGUUCGUUGUGAAAUCGCCCGGCUCAACUGGGCGGGGUCAGCGGAUACGGCAGAGCUUGAGCAAGCUAGGGGGCAAUGGAAUUCCCGGUGUAGUGGUGGAAUGCGUAGAUAUCGGGAGGAACACCAGUGGCGAAGGCGGCCCGCUGGGCAGUGGCUGACGCUGAGGCGCGACAGCGUGGGGAGCAAACAGG
rnacentral:rRNA from 1 species